GCUAACAUGGCGCAAUUGGCAGCGCAGCGCUCUUGUAAAGCGCAGGUUGAGAGUUCGAUUCUCUCUGUUAGCUCCA
rnacentral:tRNA from 1 species